AGCCUGGGUGACAGAGCGAGACUCUGUCACACACAGAAAAGAAAACACACAGACACGUAUGUGUGCACCCAGAUACACGCGGGCACACAAAUGUACACAGAUGGGCAGGCACACAGCCACGUAUGCUUAUAGACACGUGUGCACAGGCAUGCACGCGGUCAUGUGCAAACGUGCAAACAGACAUGGCCAGUCCCCGCUGCCUGACUCUCCGUUCUCCUCCAGCAGGCACCUCCGUCCUUCCCGAUGACCCUCCUUUGGCUGACGCUGCUCCUGGUCGCCACGCCCUGUCUCCUGCAAACCAAGGAGGAUCCAAAUGCACCAAUCAGGAAUCUAAGGAUGAAAGAAAAGGCUCAGCAGUUGAUGUGGGACCUGAACAGAAACGUGACCGACGUGGAGUGUAUCAAAGGCACCGACUAUUCUAUGCCGGUAAAUCCUAUUCUCUACGGUUGACAAACGAGACGUUUCCGUCUCCCGCAGGAAUCUGAGAACCAGUACUGCUCCCGUCCCUGUUGUCAUAAGUACCUGGGUUCUGCCCCGAAGCCAGCUGUGGGAUUUGAAGUGAGUUUGGAGGGUCUGGUUCCCCAUCCGCGGGAUAUCCAAGGUGGCACACACUGGACAGGGUGGACGUGAAAAUGAAACGAGGCUAACCUAUGACUGGUGGAAAACCAAACCGCACGCUGGGUGCGGUGGCUCACGCCCGUCAUCCCAGCACUUUGGGAGGUCGAGGCGGGCGGAUCACCUGAGGUCAGGGGUUCGAGAACAGUCUGACCAACAUGGUGAAACCCCGUCUCUACUAAAAAUAGGAAAAUUAGCUGGGCGUGGUGGCUCAUGCCCGUAAUUCCCAGCUACUCGGGAGCCUGAGGCGGGAGGAUCGUUUGAAUCUAGGAAGCGGAGGUUGCAGUGAGCCGAGAUCGCGCCACUGCACUCCAGCCUGGGCGAGAGAGACAGACUGUGUCUCAAAAAGAGAGAGAGAGGACCAGGCACCGUGGUUCACACCUGUCAUCCCAGCACUUUGGGAAGCUGAGGCGGGUGGAUCACCUGAGUUCAGGAGUUCGAGACCAGCCUGGCCAACAUAGUGAAACCCCGUCUCUACUAACAAUACAAAAAAAAAUUAGGUGUGGUGGCGGGCGCCUAUAAUCCUAGCACCUUGGGAGGCCAAAGCAGGUGGAUCAUUUGAGGUCAGGAGUUCGAAACCAGCCUGGCCAACAUGGCAAAACCAUGUUUCCACUAAAAAUACGAAAAUUAAC
rnacentral:lncRNA from 10 species